UAGCUGCUGGUGGCUGUUACCACAGCAAACAUGGUGAGGUCAGAACCCUGGGCCAGCCCAGCACUACUGUUGGUCACCAGGGCCCCUGGCGGCUGUUGCUAGGAGAUAGUCACAACAGCAAGGUCAGCUUUUCCAGCCACAUGGCUUUUCUGCAUAGCUCCUACUCCUCCCAACCCCAGCUUGAAGAUGCUGACCCUAAGAGAGGAGCUGGACUAUGUUCCCUGGUUCCUGACAACCCCCAAAACCUGAUGUGGGCAGGACAAAGGUCAGGUUUCUCAGAGAAGCUGCAUGGCAGUCCUGUGUGAGUAGAAUUGUUCAACCUCUCCCAAGAACACUGAGGGGCAGAAUAUACUCACUAGAAAGCCUGGAAUCCUUUCUACUGAGGAAAGCAUCCUUUCCUAUAAUUUGGCCUCACUGUAGGAGCAGUGUGACUGCUUCCUUUUGGAAAUUUUCUAAGAUUCAGGAAGACUGACACAGCCCCACCCCUGCUUGACCUAGGCUACACCAGUACCCGUCAACUCACCCUUAGAGCAACUUUUCAACCCUGAACCCAAUCCGGAGAAGCUUGCCCCAAGGUGGCCCAUGAGAUGAGUUUACGUUUUUUUCACCAUACCUGGCUACUGAGUGUCUCCUCUCUACCCUGGCAGCAAGGAAGCUGUAGAGGACCCAACACCACUUCAGUCUUCAGGACCACUCACCUCACACUCUGCCUUGCUCUUUGGUCCAACAGUGCCCCGGAUCCGCUCACUAAGGGGAAGGUGCUGGAUGAAAGUGAAUCCCGGGAGGACAGAACAGUAGGGCUCUGCCCUCUGCCCGAAGUUGAACUCCACAGCACAAUUCUUUACCAGAACAUGAGGGUAGAGGGCCUGACCCCCCAAUGCUUCUUUCUGGAUUCGGAAGGCAAUGCCCAUCCACUUCCCAUUCUUGGUAAAUGAAAGUUCCACAUCAUUUCCACAUUCAAAGUCCUAGAAGAGAAAGCCAAAAAUAAUUAUCAACUCUUGGUUUAAGGCACUGGGAGCCAAAGUGGAAGAAAAUCAGUACAGGGAUAGAAAUACAGCCAGUUUUGCA